rnacentral:rRNA from 1 species
AUGGCCAUGGUGGAUUGGUGGUGGCGAGUGGAGAUGGUCACCGAGCUCCCCAUGUCAAUGUCCUCUCUACUCUUCUUAUCUUCUUUGCUCACCUUGCCUGGCAUGCUCAUGGCAGCCUCUCGGCUAGAUCUGCAGGCCAAAAGUGAUACUUCAAUUCUGUUUAAAGAGCUUUGCUCAUUAUGCGCCUCCCUGCAAUUGUAUGAGGUGCCAUUUAAUUUGGCCCCUGUAGAGCCUCAGCCUGCCCAGUGCUUUUAUGAGCAGAGCUGGCAACCUCCCUGUUGUACAUGCAUGGCCGGCCACAGCUACUCACAUUCCAUGUGCAUGUGCUUGUGCUCUGCCAAUCGUAGCAAUGCUGUUUUUUCUUUUUCUUUUCUUGAUCGGUUCUUUCUAGAGAAGAUGAGCUCACUGGCAUUGUUAGGAAACAAGCCAAGUCGUUUGAUUACUGUUUUUUUAACUUUAGGGUUUCAACUGCCGUUUGGGCAUGGUUUGUUUCAUUGUAAAUGGGUUGCAGUUGCGCUGAUGCCAGCAAGAGGCAUUUUAUUCCUUGGUGCCUAUAAUUGA